CAGUCGCCACGGUAAUACGUAGGCAGCGGGCGUUGUUCGGAAUUACUGGGCGUAAAGAGUGUGUAGGCGGUGCUCUAAGUUUGGUGUGAAAUCUCCCGGCUUAACUGGGAGGGUGCGCCGAAGACUGGAGUGCUCGAACGUGGGAGAGGAAAGCGGAAUUCCUGGUGUAGCGGUGAAAUGCGUAGAUAUCAGGAGGAACACCUGCGGUGUAGACGGCUUUCUGGACCAUUGUUGACGCUGAGACACGAAAGCGUGGGUAGCAAACAGGAUUAGAUACCCGCGUAGUCCCUGUCUCUUAUAA
rnacentral:rRNA from 1 species